rnacentral:rRNA from 1 species
GACGAACGCUGGCGGCGUGCCUAAUACAUGCAAGUAGAACGCACAGGCUGCACCGUAGUUUACUACACCGUAUUCUGUGAGUUGCGAACGGGUGAGUAACGCGUAGGUAACCUGCCUGGUAGCGGGGGAUAACUAUUGGAAACGAUAGCUAAUACCGCAUAAGAACAUUUACUGCAUGGUAGAUGUUUAAAAGGUGCAAAUGCAUCACUACCAGAUGGACCUGCGUUGUAUUAGCUAGUAGGUGAGGUAACGGCUCACCUAGGCGACGAUACAUAGCCGACCUGAGGGGGUGGUCGGCCACACUGGGACUGGGACACGGCCCAGACUCCUACGGGAGGCAGCAGUAGGGAAUCUUCGGCAAUGGGGGGAACCCUGACCGAGCAACGCCGCGUGAGUGAAGAAGGUUUUCGGAUCGUAAAGCUCUGUUGUUAAGGAAGAACGAGUGUGAGAAUGGAAAGUUCAUACUGUGACGGUACUUAACCAGAAAGGGACGGCUAACUACGUG